rnacentral:rRNA from 1 species
GCCCUUAGAGUUUGAUCAUGGCUCAGGAUGAACGCUGUCGGCGUGCUUAACACAUGCAAGUCGAGCGAAGCACCUCCAUUUGAUUCAUUCGGGAUGAAGAUCUUGGUGACUGAGUGGCGGACGGGUGAGUAACGCGUGGGUAACCUGCCUCAUACAGGGGGAUAACAGUUAGAAAUGACUGCUAAUACCGCAUAAGACCACAGCACCGCAUGGUGCAGGGGUAAAAACUCCGGUGGUAUGAGAUGGACCCGCGUCUGAUUAGGUAGUUGGUGGGGUAACGGCCUACCAAGCCGACGAUCAGUAGCCGACCUGAGAGGGUGACCGGCCACAUUGGGACUGAGACACGGCCCAAACUCCUACGGGACGCAGCAG